UAUCUCUGUGUUUCAGAAUGGCAGUGGCUGUGCAGUUCUGCAGGUGAAGGCAGCCCCAUCCCUGACCUGCAAUGGCAGUGGCUGUGCAGUGCUGCAGGUAGGUCUGUCUCUUCUUGAUGGUAGAGAUACUGUUUUAAACCCUAGUGUCUGGGGUUAUUGUGUUCUUGAGUCCAGAAGGUCUCUUUAGUGUGAGAUGGUCUUUCCUGGUGUGUAAACAGAAGGAGAUGUAUUUCAAUCACAUGUUACUGUAACAUCCUACA